rnacentral:rRNA from 1 species
UACGUAGGUGACAAGCGUUGUCCGGAUUUACUGGGCGUAAAGAGCGCGCAGGCGGUCGUUCAAGUCGAGUGUGAAAGCCCCCGGCUCAACUGGGGAGGGUCAUUCGAUACUGAUCGACUCGAAGGCAGGAGAGGGAAGUGGAAUUCCCGGUGUAGUGGUGAAAUGCGUAGAUAUCUGGAGGAAUACCGGUGGCGAAGGCGGCAUCCUGGACCGACAUUGACGCUGAGGCGCGAAAGCUAGGGGAGCAAACGGG